AGUAUGUCUUAAAAAACCCUGAAGACAAAAUUUUUUUAAAAAUUGAAUCUUGUAAUAAUUACGGUAUCCUUCAUUCUACCAGUGAUGUUAUUUUGGGAAAUUUACGUUUAAAAAUAAAAUAAGAAUAUGAAUUGCAAUGCUUGUUUUAACGCGUUACGACUUUUUUCCUUGGGGCUGUCGUUAUGGUACAAACUCCCCUUUUACAUAUUUAUGUAUGGACGGUUUUUGUUAGAAUGUGGUCAAGUCAAACGUUGUCACUUUUAGGUUUUUAUCAAUUUUGUUUAAAAACAGAUAUUUUAAAUAUAUCAAUAAACUAUAAUUGAGUCAACAAUAAUUUAUCCAACUAUUUACUAUAGCUAAUUUUAUUUUCCUAGUAUGAAUAUGUAAUAAAUAAAUUUUCAGAUAAAUAUUAAGAAAAAAAAUUUUAAUUCCUAUAAAAUACGACAAUUGUGUAACAGUAGACAUUCAUGUUUAAUAACCUUAUAGGGAAGAGUUAUGGUGAACUUAUUAUUCACUUAUUGUGAAGUAGAUAUUUUAUGGAUUACAAGAAAGUUAUUAUAAGUGUUCAACUAGGUGUUCUAAGAUUAAUUUGCGCACGAAGAUAAUUGUCUCCGGUAUUAGUCAAAGUAAAAAUUAUGAUGUAGCAUUAACUGAUGGAACACUGACCAACUAGUAGUCGUACUAUGUCUUAUGGUGUAGCAUACACGAGCUUUGAUGCAAAGCUGAGAAGAUACGCAGCAUUUAUUAUCGAUUGUGACUUUAUUAACGAAAAUGCUUAAAGUAUGG